rnacentral:rRNA from 1 species
AGCAGCCGCGGUAAUUCCAGCUCCAAUAGCGUAUAUUAAGGUUGUUGCAGUUAAAAGCUCGUAGUUGAAUUUCGGGAUCAAAGGAUCGGUCAUGCCUUGGUAUGUACUGGUUUUAUUGGUUCUCACCUUCUAAAGAACCAUAAUGUCAUUCAUUUGAUGUUAUGGGGAAUUAGGACUGUUACCUUGAAAAAAUUAGAGUGUUUAAAGCAGGCUUACGCUUGAAUACAUUAGCAUGGAAUAAUGAAAUAGGACAUCAGAUUCUAUUUUGUUGGUUUCUAGGAUCGAUGUAAUGAUUAAUAGGGAUAGUUGGGGGCAUUAGUAUUCAAUUGUCAGAGGUGAAAUUCUUGGAUUUAUUGAAGACUAACUACUGCGAAAGCAUUUGCCAAGGAUGUUUUCAUUAAUCAAGAACGAAAGUUAGGGGAUCGAAGACGAUCAGAUACCGUCGUAGUCUUAACCAUAAACUAUGCCGACUAGGGAUCGGAUGAUGUUAAUUUUUAUAAUGACUCAUUCGGCACCUUAC